rnacentral:rRNA from 1 species
AGUGAACGCUGGCGGUAGGCCUAACACAUGCAAGUCGAACGGCAGCACAGAGGAGCUUGCUCCUUGGGUGGCGAGUGGCGGACGGGUGAGGAAUACAUCGGAAUCUACUCUGUCGUGGGGGAUAACGUAGGGAAACUUACGCUAAUACCGCAUACGACCUACGGGUGAAAGCAGGGGAUCUUCGGACCUUGCGCGAUUGAAUGAGCCGAUGUCGGAUUAGCUAGUUGGCGGGGUAAAGGCCCACCAAGGCGACGAUCCGUAGCUGGUCUGAGAGGAUGAGCAGCCACACUGGAACUGAGACACGGUCCAGACUCCUACGGGAGGCAGCAGUGGGAAUAUUGGACAAUGGGCGCAAGCCUGAUCCAGCCAUACCGCGUGGGUGAAGAAGGCCUUCGGGUUGUAAAGCCCUUUUGUUGGGAAAGAAAUCCGUCUGGUUAAUACCCGGGUGGGAUGACGGUACCCAAAGAAUAAGCACCGGCUAACUUCGUGCCAGCCGCCGCGGUAA